GGCUCUCUCAGUACCGUCAUUAUCUUCCUUGAGGACAGAGCUUUACGACCCGAAGGCCUUCAUCAGCUCACGCGGCGUUGCUGCAUCAGGCUUUCGCCCAUUGUGCAAUAUUCCCCACUGCUGCCUCCCGUAGGA
rnacentral:rRNA from 1 species